CCCUGUGUAGCUCAGUUGGUAGAGCAUGGCACUUGUAACGCCAGGAUUGUGAUUCAAAUCCAAUGGGGA